CGUCUAUAUACGUAUAGCAUAUCAAUAAGCGGAGGAAAAGAAACUAACAAGGAUUCCCUUAGUAACGGCGAGUGAAGCGGGAAGAGCUCAAAUUUGAAAUCUUCAAGGUUCUACCUUGACGAAUUGUAGUUUAAUAGAAGUGUUUUCUGUUAGAUGAGUAGCAAAAGUUCCUUUGGAAUAGGGACAUCAUAGAGGGUGAGAAUCCCGUAUUUGGUUAUUCAUUCUAGCUUUGUGAUACACUUUCAAAGAGUCGGAUUGUUUGGGAAUGCAGUCCAAAAUGGGUGGUAAAUUUCAUCUAAAGCUAAAUAUUGGCGAGAGACCGAUAGCGAACAAGUACCGUGAGGGAAAGAUGAAAAGAACUUUGAAAAGAGAGUUAAACAGUACGUGAAAUUGUCAAAAGGGAAGCGUUUGACACCAGUGUUGUUUUUCCAAAAAUCAAUUACGAAUGGCUUGAUUCUGUGUUGUAUUGACCUUAUCAGCUUUCUGCACUUUUUUCGAGUCUUUCUUAAUGCACUUUUCGGUUAACAAGUCAACAUCAAUUUCUUUUGUUGUAAAAGAGGUAUGCGGAAGGUGGCUUUCUUUUCGGAGAAAGUGUUUAUAGCCCUAGUGACUUCUGACAAUCGGAGAGAUUGAGGUCUGCAGCGUAGAUCCUUCGGGGUUAGAUACAUUUGUGCUAAGUUAUAGCCUUUCAUAGACAACUUGUUGACUAUGAUCAGUCAUGUAGCUUACUCGCUUAUGCUAUUUUACCUACGCUUAGGAUGUUGACUGAUAUGUAGUCGUA
rnacentral:rRNA from 1 species